GUGCUCAUUUUGACAGAACAUAUGCUCAAAGUGGAAUGACACAGAAAAAAAUACCAUGGUUCCUAUGAAAGAAUGACAAACACAUUUGUGAAAUAUUUCAUACUUUU
ensembl:snRNA U6 U6 spliceosomal RNA